GGCUGGAAUUUUGUGUGUAGUUUUUUUUACAAUCUCUGAAUUUUGAGUUUAUUUCAAGGUGAAAUAUUGGCUUUUUUGUUGUUGUUGUUGUUGUUGUUUNUUUCUCUUUUUUUGAGUGAAGACAAUAUUGAGAAACAAUUCAGUACAGGUAGUUCAUCUCUAAAACAAAGGCAAAUUCAGGGCUGUCAAGGAAUUUGAAAGUCCUGGGUUAAAGGAUUUUGCAAAGAUUUCUGCUGAGUAAGGGCUAUAUACCUGAGAGGGAAAGAACACUCACACAAGUGAGCUCAGAAGGUCAGAAGCUCCUGCAGAACCAAGACAGACAUGGUUGUGGUGCUGGAUUGCUGCUCAUCCUCUGCCCAUCGCUUGAUCAUUGCCACAACUGUUUCAAGAACCCACAGCUUGAUGAAUUGCUCAGUAAUGGAAAACUCUUUGAAUAGCACUGCCUUGAGAAAAAUGACAGAAGAUAAGUUAAGCCAGCCCAAGGGGAGCAGAUCUGCUUUUUGCAAGAAUACAAGGAACCAAGAUUUUCCUGCAGAAUAGAAAUGAAGGUAUGUUGUGCUGCUCCUGGCUGCAUUGUAUAGUGCCAAUUGCAUUAGUUGGUACUUCUGCCUCACUUGCAUCUCAUCUCUCCAAGAUCCAAUUUAUGGCAGCUGAGAUAAAGUAUCCUUCAGGGUAUUACAUUCAUCCCUUUCAUAAAUCAAGAACCACUUUUUGAUAUAAGAGAUUUGAGUCCAGAAAAAGAGGAAAACAUAUGGCACUAGGCUUUGUAAAUGGCCAACUGGCAUGUCUGUGAUGGCUGUUUGCAGCUUUUGGCUACUUUUCAUGCCAGAAAGUAACAAAAGUGUCAUCUUUGCCACUGAUUCGGGCAUAGUUAUAGUUAUGUGCAUUACUUCCUAUCUUUCAGGACACUGCUGUGCUCUCUCCUGCCAUGGAGACAGUAUCUGUAAGUAAGUAGUUAGACUUACUUACCCAAGUGGUUCAGUGAAGUUUAGUUAAUGCUUCUG
rnacentral:lncRNA from 1 species